GACACACGGGACCGAAUGGGGGCCUCGAAGAAUGUCGCCUGCAGGGGGAGCACAGUUCCGUUGUGCACUUAGAGGCCAAUGGGAUGGCUCCUGCUUUCCGGGUGGAAUUUAAAUACAUAUGUAUAAUUUUGCAUGCC